AUUCUUUAUUCCACAACUUGAACUUCUAACCAUUCUUUCUCCAUUCCAUCAUGGGCUUGAUGCUAAAUUAUGUAUUAUAAUACAUGUUUAUUCAUAAUAUGGGCCACCUGUAUGCAAAUGUUAAUCUCUUGGACCAGUGCUCAUAUCAGGUUCUGAAUAGUCAAGAUGCUCUCUCCUUUAUUUUGUGUUUUCAUUAUAUUUUUAUUUAAAAUAGUAUUGUUUUUAUCUAAUAGAAAAUAUGGUCAGUUAAAAAAUACGAAAAACAGAAAAGUUCAAAAAAUAUAUAACCAGUAAUCUCACUACCCAGAAAUAGUUACUGUUACCACUUCAGUUUCUUUAUCUUCCAACCCUCACUACUGUCUAACUAUUCUUUAUUUUAAACUUUUUUUUUAAAGUGGUACUGAACUGAAUAAACUAUUUUUAGCUUAUUUCCCCCCCUUUCACUUAACAAUAUGCAAGCAGUUACAUACUUUCCUGGGUGACAUGUUUCUGAAAAAUGUGUUUGAACACCAAAUGUUAAGGCCGAUAGCAGACUCAUUUUAACAGAGUGAGGGUAGAGGAGAGAGAGUCCUUCCCAGGGGGAAAAAGAUGCUACAAAAUAUGCCAUGUGGUUUCUGCAGGCAUAGCUUUUCUUAGGCUUCAGCAGGCAGAGAGAGAGGCUUUCCUGGCCCCAGUAAAGACUGGCAGACAUUACCAGCUUAGACACCAAUGCUGAGGCACCAACCAUUGCGUGGGAACUGGGAGUCAGUUCAGGAAUUUCCCCUUCAUUUUUGCUCAUUUUUCCACUUCUAUGUCUCUGUAAGGCCUUGGAGGAAGGUAGGGAUUUUUUGUUCUUUAAUUACUGCAGAAAGUGCUAUUUAUCUGAUUAUGACAUUAAAUUUUACCACCUUUACUUUUAAAAUUUUAAAUAUUUAAUUUAUUUAUUUGGCCACACCUGCAGCUUAACAGAAGUUUUUGGGCCAAAGAUUGAAUCUGAGCUAUAGCUACACCAAUGCCAGAUCCUUAACCCACCAUGCCAGUCUGGGGACCAAACCCACACAUUUGCAAAGAUAAUGCCAGGUCCUUAACCCACUGCACCACAGUGGGAACUCCUACUACCCUUACUUUUGAGAAGCUUACAAUUUCUUUUUGGCUUGCAAUCACCAGACUGAGGAGGAACCUAGCCCUGAAUUUAUUUAUUUUUUUAUUUUUUGCUUUAUAGGGCUGCACUUGCAGCAUAUGAAAGUUCCCAAGAUUGGGGCCAAAUGGGAGCUGCAGCUGCCAUCCUACACCAUAGCCACUGCAGUGUAGGAUCCAAGCUGCAUCUUUGACGUAUACCACAGCUCACAGCAGUGCUGCAUCCUUAACCCACUGAGUGAGGCCAGGGCUAGAACCGGCAUCCUCAUGGUUACUAGUCAGCUUUUUAACCUGUGGAGCCAUGGAGGAUCUCCAUAGCCCUGAAUUAAUUAAUCAAAUAAAUAACUAUUGAAAUGAAUAUACAUUGAUAAUAGAACUUGUAUCAAUUUCCUAGGGCUGCCAUAACACAUGACUACACACUGAGUGAUUUAGAACAGCCGAGAUGUGUCCUCUACCAACUCUGGAGUCCAGGGCUCAGAAAUGUAGGUGUUGCUGGAGCUGCACUCCCUCCAGGGGCUGUAGGGGAGCCUCCUUCUUUGUCUCUUUGAAUUUCUCCAGGCUGUUGGCCCCUUCAUUUCCUGCCUUUACCUUCAUAUGGCCUUCUCCUCUGUGGGCUUCUCUUCUUCUUGAUCUUAGAAGGACAUAUCAUUGGAUUCAGGGCCCAUUGGAAUAAUGCAGGCUGCUCUUAGCUAAAUAUCCUUAAGUACAUCCUCAAAGACCCUUUUUCCAAAGAAGAUCCCAUUCACAGUCUCUGGGUGGACGUAUCUUUUGGGGAGGGGCUGGUAUAGAGGGAAGCCUAAGCCAGAUACUUUGAACAUGGGCUGAUAUGAGAGAGAUUUAAGUGAGUAGCUAUAACACAGUACAGUAAAUGCUAGAAAACAGGCCUAGUACAAUUGCUUUUGGAACACAGAAGGGUGGAAAUUUGGGAUGCGGGCAUGCGGAUGUCCAGGAAGCCUCGUGUAGAAUGACAUUUCGGGAUGAAAUAGAGUGCUCAUGGUUCCUUAGUUGGAUUUGUUAACCACUGAGCCAUGACGGGAACUCCAAAAAGACAUUAUUUAAAAAAAAAAUUGUUAAAAUAACCAUAGUUUCAAAUAAAUAUGGUUAUUUUAAAUAUGGAUGGUGAGUGAUGAGGAUUGGUACUUGGUAUUAGAGAAUGGUGGGGACUGUGGUGAACUGGAGAGCAAAUACGGUAACUGGGGGGAUUGUCAGGUCUACAGGGGCCAAAGAACCACACUUUCACCCCCUCCACUGAAAUUUGACCAGAGUUUUCCUGUGGAAGUUUGGGUGUCCUGGGCUUUGAAACAGUGAGCUCCUGAGUGCCUUCCACUACAUGUAUUAAGAUUUCCUUUCCUUCCAAAGGCUUUGUUCUCAUCUCUUCAUUUCUUCUCUGGAGUGUUCUUACAGGCUUACCCCAUUUGCCCCUGCUUUCUGCAUCCAGCCCAUCUCUCUAUCUCAUCUAUCUUUUCUCUGAGUCAUUCUUAUGUCCAUCUAUCCCAAAUUAUAUUUCGUUUCUUUCUUUCUUUUUUUUUUUCUUUUCUUUUCUUUUUUUUUUUUUUUUUUUCUGUACUCGCAGCAUAGGGAAGUUCCCAGGCCAGGAACUGAAUCUGAGGUGGAGCUAUGACCUACACCCCAGCUAUAGCAAUGCUGGAUCCUUAACACACUGCACCAGGCAGGGGAUCGAACCCAUGCUUCAGCAGUGACCCUAACCACUGUAGAGACAAUGCCAGAUCUUUAAGCUACUGCACCAAAAUGGGAACCCCCACUUACUUAUUUUCAUGUCAGGUUUCACCACCUGUAUGAAAGCUCUUUGAGGGAGGAAACCAUGUGUUACUUACUUUUUUAUUCUAACUCUCUGUCCAAUAGAUAUUACUCAAGGGUCCUUGGUAAAUAAACAAACUGGGAAGAAAAUGCUCAUUCAGUGUUCAGUGCUAUCAGAGUCCUGUUUUGUGGAAGGAAGCAUAUACAAUCUCAUUUCAAAGUUUAUCUUCUACUCUCAAUGUCUAUUUUUUCCCCUAAAAUCAAGUUACUAUGUUGCAACUCCCACAUAAAAAUCAAUAUGCUAGGCUGCUGAUAAUGUCCCUUGUUCUUAUUUAGGAUGCUUAGAAUUUUGAAUAAGGGUGGGCAGAUUUUCAAACCUGAACUUCAACUGUCAAUGAAGAAAUGUUUCAGCUAAUGAUCAUCCACAUUGGUAUCAGGCAAACAUGUGUGGGGCUCUAGGAAAAACCAAUUCACUUGUCAAUACCUCCCUAAUCUAACUUGCUACUGCUGCACAGAUAAUACUGCUCCUUAUUUCCUGGGCUGUCAUUCUAGCAAGAUUCAGAGCUGAUGAGGCUAAAAGACCUCCACAGAGCACCACCUAAACCGCAGUCUAGUUCAUAAGGCACUGCUAGCUAGGUGGAUGAACCCCAGUUCUGCAUUUGAAGGCUGCUCUCACAACCCUUCUCAGGGUCUGUAUCAGGGAUCACAAAUUCAGAUGCAGGAGGCCUAAGUGAGAAAAGUGGGCUUAUGUUAACAUAAAAGAAGGGUGGGGACUGUGGCAUAUUGGACAGCAAGUGCAGUAGGGCAGCCACCCCAAGCUCCUGCCAUUUGUUGCUGCUUGAGAAUGUGGGCCUAGUAUUGGCGUGUUGACAGAUAUUCAAGUGUUUGAAGGGAAGAUAAAAAUCUGGAUUUUUUUCUGUGCCAUCUCUACACUUUCAAAACACAGUGUGGAAGGAAAAGAAAAUAGACAGCUAUUUUGCAACUCCCAAAUAAAAAUCAAUGUGCUAAGCUGCCGAUAACUUCCCUUGUUCUUAUUUAGGAUGUGUAGGACUUUGAACAAGUAUGGGAGAGUUUUCAAACCUGAUCUGCAGCUUUUCCCAAAAGAUUUUCCCCUUUUCAAAAUUGAAAUUUUAUAGGAUAACCAUGUGAAAAGGAAGGAGAAAAUGAAGCUUAAUGGGCAAUCAAUUUUUUUUUUUUAAAAACAGCCUUAUCAUCAUAUCCAGGAAAUUUGAGGAAGCAGUUCUGAAGGUGAUUUUUUUCUUUAAAUCUGAACAGAUUCAGUCUGGUUUUCAAAUGGCAAAACUGACUAAUGGUUACUUGUUAAGAUGGUUCUUGGUGUUAUAGGAGUUUUAAAGUGAUCUGACUGUCUCUUUAACUGUCAGGGGUUCCCUGUAUGGUAGGUGUCUUUUCCCCUCAAUGAAAUCUGGGUACACACUUUCCUGGGGGAGGAUUUUAAUUUUUUCAGUCAAUUCCCUGUCUCCAUGCCCCCAGAUAUUGAAUCGACUCCGUGCUGUAAACACGCAUGUUUGUGCAGCCCCACAACUUAACCCUUUUAACUUCAGGGAUUUCUGACAUACUGAAGCUCAUGGAAGGAUCCAGGUCAGGACCCCCUGGCUUGUCAUGAAACCAUAAAUAAGCAGAUGGGAGGUGGGCACGGUUCUGAUGUGCCAGGCACCAUGUGACAUUUUAGAUGCAUUUUCUCAUCUAAUCCUCAGUAUAACAAUCCCAUAUGGCAGGCAAUUGCAUUACCACCUUCUGAGUAAAUAGAGGUGUACAUAUAAUAGCAAAGGAAAAGAUAGCACCUUUAAGGACGCAUAGCUCACAUGUACUAGUCAAGGGACUGUCAUAUUGUAGAAGUAGAGGCUUGGCCUCAGGUAGGACAGGCUUUGGAACCUGGCUCUCCUGAGUUGCGUAACUUCUCUGAGGCUCAGUUUUUUUUUCUUCCUGGGCCUAGUAAGUACCUGGCUCAUCAUGAUGGAAGUAUAAUGUGUAUGAAUUUGCAGAUCCAAUGCUUAAGUGCAGGAAAUAUCCCAUUAUGGAUUUUUUUUCCCUAAAAGCAAGUUCAAUCUGUUGCUAGUCCAUAUUUUGAUGACGGGGCAGAAAAUUCACUGCCAGUCAUGGCUGAGAUUUGCUUCUCCUUGGCCCCUGGUGCGUAGAGGAAGCAAGGUUAUUCUCUUUGAGCAAACAGGAGCUCAUGUCACUUGUGGAAAAUGGCAAUAUGCUCCCACCGAAGUGGACCAACUCUAAACAAUUAUAUGACCAGCAUAGAAAGAAACCAACUCACAGGAAUUCCCUUGCGGCUCAGCAGAUUAAGGAUCCAGCAUUGCCACAGCUGCUGUGUGGAUUCAGUCCCUGGCCCUGGAACUUCUUCAUGAUGCUGGGCAUGACCAAAGGGAAAAAAAAAAGAAAAAGAAAAAG
rnacentral:lncRNA from 1 species